AGUGAACGCUGGCGGUAGGCCUAACACAUGCAAGUCGAACGGCAGCACAGGAGAGCUUGCUCUCUGGGUGGCGAGUGGCGGACGGGUGAGGAAUACAUCGGAAUCUACCUUUUCGUGGGGGAUAACGUAGGGAAACUUACGCUAAUACCGCAUACGACCUACGGGUGAAAGUGGGGGACCGCAAGGCCUCACGCGAUUAGAUGAGCCGAUGUCCGAUUAGCUAGUUGGCGGGGUAAUGGCCCACCAAGGCGACGAUCGGUAGCUGGUCUGAGAGGAUGAUCAGCCACACUGGAACUGAGACACGGUCCAGACUCCUACGGGAGGCAGCAGUGGGGAAUAUUGGACAAUGGGCGCAAGCCUGAUCCAGCCAUACCGCGUGGGUGAAGAAGGCCUUCGGGUUGUAAAGCCCUUUUGUUGGGAAAGAAAUCCUGUCGAUUAAUACUCGAUGGGGAUGACGGUACCCAAAGAAUAAGCACCGGCUAACUUCGUGCCAGCAGCCGCCGUAAUAC
rnacentral:rRNA from 1 species